rnacentral:rRNA from 1 species
AUUGAACGCUGGCGGCAGGCCUAACACAUGCAAGUCGAGCGGAUGAAGGGAGCUUGCUCCUGGAUUCAGCGGCGGACGGGUGAGUAAUGCCUAGGAAUCUGCCUGGUAGUGGGGGAUAACGUCCGGAAACGGGCGCUAAUACCGCAUACGUCCUGAGGGAGAAAGUGGGGGAUCUUCGGACCUCACGCUAUCAGAUGAGCCUAGGUCGGAUUAGCUAGUUGGUGGGGUGAAGGCCUACCAAGGCGACGAUCCGUAACUGGUCUGAGAGGAUGAUCAGUCACACUGGAACUGAGACACGGUCCAGACUCCUACGGGAGGCAGCAGUGGGGAAUAUUGGACAAUGGGCGAAAGCCUGAUCCAGCCAUGCCGCGUAUGUGAAGAAGGUCUUCGGAUUGUAAAGCACUUUAAGUUGGGAGGAAGGGCAGUAAGUUAAUACCUUGCUGUUUUGACGUUACCAACAGAAUAAGCACCGGCUAACUUCGUG